CUUUGCUUUGUUAGAGUUCAGCGGUGUUUGGUCGUCGAGUGCCUUAAUCCCUCUGCAAACUGCAGUCGCAGCCAGGUAGGUAAUGUGUCACACCUUAGAUGUAGCCGCACCGUCUGUUCAUCUCACAUCUAGCCCAUGGAUUGAAGAAUCCAUGUCUUUUCUGCCCCCCUUCCAUCCAUUGUCUCUGUUCCCCUCCCUUUCAUGUCUUUUCUUCA